AGAGUUUGAUCCUGGCUCAGGACGAGCGCUGGCGGCGUGCUUAAUACAUGCAAGUCGAACGGGAUCAUCCUUUCGGGGGUGGUUUAGUGGCGAACGGGUGAGUAACACGUGAGUAACCUGCCCUCAGCUUUGGGAUAAGCCUGGGAAACUGGGUCUAAUACCGGAUAUUCACAUUCUGUCGCAUGGUGGGGUGUGGAAAGGGUUUCUGGCUGGGGAUGGGCUCGCGGCCUAUCAGCUUGUUGGUGGGGUGAUGGCCUACCAAGGCGGUGACGGGUAGCCGGCCUGAGAGGGCGACCGGCCACACUGGGACUGAGACACGGCCCAGACUCCUACGGGAGGCAGCAGUAGGGAAUAUUGCGCAAUGGGCGAAAGCCUGACGCAGCGACGCCGCGUGGGGGAUGACGGCCUUCGGGUUGUAAACCUCUUUCAGCCCCGACGAAGCGGGAGUGACGGUAGGGGUAGAAGAAGCGCCGGCCAACUACGUGCCAGCCGCCGCGGUAAUUC
rnacentral:rRNA from 1 species